AAAAAUAAAUGAAUACCUAAAUGAAAUAGAUGACGAACAUUUAUAAUGUAAAGUAGAUUUAAGAAGAGUUUCUCCUAAAAUAGCUUUUUUCAUGAGUAAGUUGAUACUGAUACAGUGUCCAGUGGUAGUAACUAGUAUUGUUAUCAUCAUGUAUGAUAAAUUGUUGUUGGUUAAACAACAAACCUUACAGUAAAACAGUGUAAUGUUAUCUGAUACCAGUUUAGGUGUCCAUCAUAAUACGUGUGGAUUUAACAGCAGAGCAUUUAAAAAAAAGUUGUAUUUUUUUGUUAAAUUGAUGGAUGCCAAGUUUUUUCCCUAUUUGGAAUAGUUACAUUGUUGGUAUCCUCAUGUAUACUUAAAUGCUACCUAAUAAUUUGUGGCUUUAAAAAAUAUAUGCAUUUUUCAAUUUAAGUAUAAUAAAUAAAAAUCUAAUAAAAUAUCUCCUUGUUUAUACAAUAUACUAAGUUUUUAAUGCUUCAGGCUACAAUGCUUGUGUCCAGCAAUUUAAAGAGCAGCUUUUGUGUAUAAAAGACAAGCAAGUGUGUGUAGAUAGCGGACAGACAAAAUAAAAUGUUACAGUCAAAUACCAUCACUUGGCUUAUACCAUCUUAUAAAAAAAGAAUAAUCACCUAAUCAUAUGUUAAGAUUUGAAAUAUAAUCGGAAAUGUGAAAUAUUGUUUCCCAAUGGUUUUAGACAUGCUAUCAAAUUGAUAAAGACAUGGUCUGACUUUUGUUGAGAUUUUUUUUCUUCAGUUUUGCCUAUUGGAAUUCUGUCAUUUUUACACUAACACAUUCAGUGUUGUUGUGACCUGACCUACACACCUUUGCUUGUGUUUUAAGAAUGCCAUGCUGAUGAUGUUAACGACAAGUCUUUCAGAAAACUGUUGUAGCUGUUGACACUUCUCAAGGUUUUGUUGUUAGGACAUAAUUUAUGUUGAUAGAUUUUUUUGACUGUCUCUGUUUAUCACCUGAAGACUUCAUGCGAUUUUCUUUACCUGAAUUGUAAUUGCCAGUAAUGUUUUAAAGUACCAGGAGAAUAAAGAUAUAAAAAAAAAAUGUAUUUGGCAAAAAAUGUGUAUUUACAGAAACUUACACUUCACAACACUGAACAUAUUUUAAAAUAACAAUGGAAUUUCAAAAAUGUCAGUUUAAUUUGGUGUUAUAACUGCAGCUAUAUUUUCAUGUUUAAAAAAGGAGCACUUUUCAAAAAUGGUACAAUUUUAUAAUUCAUAGAAAUAAACAAAAACAAUGAAAAUAGACAAAAAUAUAAAUAAAAAAUUUGCACUUUAAAUACUUUGGCUGCUUUUCCUGACAUUUCACAAAUUUUACUUCCCCUUGAAUAGUUUUAGUUCUGUUAUGAAGUCAUAAUCUGUUUUAUUUACCUGAUAAUGUAGUCUAUGGUGUUAAAUGGAGAUAGUCAUGUUGUUUUUGUUGAUGAUGUAUCAUUAGUUGGAAACGUUUACAAACGCAUCAUGUAUUAUCUAUUUAAGUAGUUAUUUUUUUUCUUUUCGUAAAAUGCACUGUGCUACUUCAAUAAAUGUUUGAAAAUAUAAAAAAAAUUGUUCUGUAUCAGUACGAGUGUCAGUGGCCGAAAGGUUAAGGAUGCUUAUUAUACCCCCGAAACAAAGUUUGGGGGGGGGGGGGGGGUUAUAUAGGAGUCACCCGUUGGUUGGUUGGUCGUUCCAUCGGUCUGUUGCAUUUUCUUUAUCCAGAGCAUAACUUGAAGACUAUUGGUUGGAAUUCAAUACAACUUCACAAAAUGGUCAAGCACAUUGAGAGAGAGUGCAGUGCACAAGAACCAUAACUCCAUCUUAGCUCAUUACAGAGUUAUUGCCCUAUGUUACUAUUCCUUGUCCGGAGCAUAACUUAAAAGCUACUGGUUGGAAUUCAAAACAACUUCAUACAAUGGUCAAGCACAAUAAGGGAAAGUGCAGUGCACAAGAAACAUAACUCUAUCUUAAUUUAUUACAGAGUCAUUGCCCUUUGUUACUUUUCCAUUGCUUUUUUUUGUCUGGAGCAUAACUUGAAGACUAAUGGUUGGAAAACAAAACAACUUCAUACAAUCAUCAAGCACAUUGAGAGGAAGUGCAGUGUACAAGAACCAUAACUCCAUCUUAACUAAUUACAGAGUUAUUGCCCUUUGUUACUUUUCCUUGUCUGGAGCAUAACUUGAAAUUACUAGUUGGAAUUCAAUACAACUUCAUGCAAUGGUCAAGCACGAUAAGAGGAAGUGCAGUGCACAAGAACGAUAACUGCAUUUUGACAAAUUACAGAGUUAUUGCACUUUGAUACUUUUCCUUGUCUGGAGCAUAACUUGAAAAGUACUGGAAGUGCAGUGCACAAUAACCAUAACUCUUUCUAAAGUAAUUACAGAGUAAUUGCCCUUUGUUACUUUUCCAUUGCUUUUUUUCUUGUCCAGAGCAUAACUUCAAAACUACUGGUUGGAAUUCAAUACAAUUUAAUUCAACGGUCAUGCACAUUGAGAGAAAGCUCAGUGCACAAGGACCAUAACUCCAUCUUGACUAAUUACAUAGUGCCCUUUGAUACUUUUCCUUGUCCCGAGCAUAACUUUAGUUGUACUGGAUGGAAUUCAAAACAACUUCAUACAAUGGUCAAGCACAAUCAGAGGAAGUGCAGUGCACAAGAACCAUAACUCUAUCCAGAGUAAUUAUAGAGUGAUUGCCCUUUGUUUCUUUUCCUUGUUGCAGAGCAUAACAUGAAAUCUAGUGGUUGGAAUUCAAUACAAUUUUAUACAAUGGUCAAG